AGUGUUGUAUAACAACAAUGACUUAUAGAAAUGACACUUGACUAGGGCUGUCAGCUUGAUCAUAGAAACUAGGGUUUCUUUCUAUACAUUGCUACACAAUAGCAGAGCUAAAUGCAUCAAUUUAUAGCCAGCAUUGACAACCGCACAGUCAUAGAAAUUUAAGCAGAAAUUAUUGGAAAUAAUCUCAGAAACUAAAUGGGCAUGUGAUCAUAUUUCCUACAAAUCGAUCGAGCUGGAGAGUAGUUUAAAUAAGUCUUGCUAUAUAUCAAAGAGUCGCUUCAUUUAUGAUUGUCGUUGAGGCCAGUUUCCGGCCGCUUUCUUUGCGUUAAAACUUACAUUACCAAAGUCAUAUGAUCUAAACACGUAUAUCUAUUUCCGGAGAUUGCUGACCAUUUGAACUGUGUGGAGU
rnacentral:lncRNA from 1 species